AAUGAACGUUGGCGGCGUGGAUUAGGCAUGCAAGUCGAGCGAUGAAACAGUGCUUGCACUGUGGAUUAGCGGCGAAAGGGAGAGUAACGCGUGGAUUAUCUGCCCUCAGACCCGGGAUAGCUGCGGGAAACUGCAGGUAAUACCGGAUGAUGUCUCCGGACUAAAUGGUGAGAUUCCGCCUGAGGAUGGGUCCGCGUCCUACUAGCUUGUUGGUGGGGUAACGGCCUACCAAGGCAAUGAUGGGUACCGGGUGUGAGAGCAUGGCCCGGCUCACUGGGACUGAGACACUGCCCAGACACCUACGGGUGGCUGCAGUCGAGAAUCUUCGGCAAUGGACGAAAGUCUGACCGAGCGACGCCGCGUGCGGGAUGAAGGUCUUCGGAUUGUAAACCGCUGUCAGUUGGGAGGAAAUCUAUGGGGGCUAUCCCCCAUAGUUGACCUAUCUUCAGAGGAAGGACGGGCUAAGUUCGUG
rnacentral:rRNA from 1 species